CGAGGCUACAAGAUACUAUUGCUUUUCUAAAUCACAAGUAUCGAAAAUCAUUGAACUACCAAAGUGCAGAUGAAGUCGCCGCUACACAUGGUAUUAUUAAACAAAAAUAUCCCCGAAGGGAUUGCAAUUGAGGGAGGAAUUUACCUUAUCUCCUUAAAAUAUAAAUAACAUUGAAUAAAUGUUUUGUCAAGUAUAACUUGAAUCCAAAAAUAUGUGUUGGGAAGUAACAAUUUGCCUAAAAAGUAACGGAGGAGUUUAUUAAGGUUGGCUUAGCCCGGAUGGAAAUCGGGCCGGACGUGUAAAGGCAGAAGCCAGCCUGACUGCAAGACCUACAAGUCGCGCAGCCGCGAAAGCGGAACUUAGUGACCCGACGAUAAUGCUUUGUACUUAACUGUAUGGGGCGCUUUAUAGAAAGGUCGGAGACAACGGAUAAAAGCUACUCCGGGGAUAACAGGCUAGUGUGAUCCGAGAGUCCCUAUCGACGAUCACGCUCGGCACCUUAACAUAUCGGGGUGCUAU
rnacentral:rRNA from 1 species